AAAUUGAAGAGUUUGAUCAUGGCUCAGAUUGAACGCUGGCGGCAGGCCUAACACAUGCAAGUCGAACGGUAACAGGAAACAGCUUGCUGUUUCGCUGACGAGUGGCGGACGGGUGAGUAAUGUCUGGGAAACUGCCUGAUGGAGGGGGAUAACUACUGGAAACGGUAGCUAAUACCGCAUAACGUCGCAAGACCAAAGAGGGGGACCCUCGGGCCUCUUGCCAUCGGAUGUGCCCAGAUGGGAUUAGCUUGUUGGUGGGGUAACGGCUCACCAAGGCGACGAUCCCUAGCUGGUCUGAGAGGAUGACCAGCCACACUGGAACUGAGACACGGUCCAGACUCCUACGGGAGGCAGCAGUGGGGAAUAUUGCACAAUGGGCGCAAGCCUGAUGCAGCCAUGCCGCGUGUAUGAAGAAGGCCUUCGGGUUGUAAAGUACUUU
rnacentral:rRNA from 1 species